GAUGAACGCUGGCGGCGUGCCUAAUACAUGCAAGUCGAGCGAACAGACGAGGAGCUUGCUCCUCUGACGUUAGCGGCGGACGGGUGAGUAACACGUGUAUAACCUACCUAUAAGACUGGGAUAACUUCGGGAAACCGGAUCUAAUACCGGAUAAUAUAUUGAACCGCAUGGUUCAAUAGUGAAAGACGGUUUUGCUGUCACUUAUAGAUGGAUCCGCGCCGCAUUAGCUAGUUGGUAAGGUAACGGCUUACCAAGGCAACGAUGCGUAGCCGACCUGAGAGAGUGAUCGGCCACACUGGAACUGAGACACGGUCCAGACUCCUACGGGAGGCAGCAGUAGGGAAUCUUCCGCAAUGGGCGAAAGCCUGACGGAGCAACGCCGCGUGAGUGAUGAAGGUCUUCGGAUCGUAAAACUCUGUUAUUAGGGAAGAACAAAUGUGUAAGUAACUAUGCACGUCUUGACGGUACCUAAUCAGAAAGCCACGGCUAACUACGUG
rnacentral:rRNA from 1 species